GACGAACGCUGCGGCGUGCUUAACACAUGCAAGUCGGACGGGAAGGCCCUGCCUUUUUGGGGUGCUCGAGUGGCGAACGGGGGAGUAACACGGGAGUAACCUUCCCUUGGCUUUGGGAUAACUUCAGGAAACUGGGGCUAAUACCGGAUAAGAGCCUCUGCCGCAUUGGGGGGGGUGGGAAGGUUCGGCGGUUGGGGAUGGACUCGCGGCUUAUCAGCUUGUUGGUGGGGUAGUGGCUUACCAAGGCUUUGACGGGUAGCCGGCCUGAGAGGGUGACCGGCCACAUUGGGACUGAGAUACGGCCCAGACUCCUACGGGAGGCAGCAGUGGGGAAUAUUGCACAAUGGGCGGAAGCCUGAUGCAGCAACGCCGCGUGCGGGAUGACGGCCUUCGGGUUGUAAACCGCUUUCGCCUGUGACGAAGCGUGAGUGACGGUAAUGGGUAAAGAAGCACCGGCUAACUACGUG
rnacentral:rRNA from 1 species